GGUUCAUUUUGGACCAUUUUUGGGGUCAUUUUUGGGGUCAUUUUUGGGACAUUUUUGGGGUCAUUUUGGGUCAUUUUGGGGCCCAUUUUUUGGGGCCAUUUUUUUCGGUUCAUUUUGGACCAUUUUUGGGGUCAUUUUGAGUCAUUUUGGGACAUUUUGGGGCCCAUUUUUUGGGGCCAUUUUUUGGGGGUCAUUUUUGGGGCCAUUUUUGGGGCCAUUUUUGGGGCCAUUUUUGGGGCCAUUUUUGGGGUCAUUUUGGGACAUUUUGGGGCCCAUUUUUUGGGGCCAUUUUUUUGGGGUCAUUUUGGGGCCCAUUUUUUGGGGAAUUUUUGGGGGACAUUUUGGGGUCAUUUUGAGUCAUUUUGGGCCAUUUUUUGGGACCAUUUUUGCGGUCAUUUUGGGGCAUUUUGGGACAUUUUGGGGACCAUUUUUUGGGACCAUUUUUUUGGGGUCAUUUUGGGUCAUUUUGGGCCAUUUUUUGGGGCCAUUUUUUGGGGUUCAUUUUGGACCAUUUUUGGGGUCAUUUUGGGUCAUUUGGGGACAUUUUGGGGCCCAUUUUUUGGGUUCAUUUUUGGGACAUUUUUGGGGCCAUUUUUGGGGUCAUUUUGGGACAUUUUGGGGCCCAUUUUUUGGGACUUUUUUUGGGGUUCAUUUUGGACCAUUUUUGGGGUCGUUUCGGGGCAUUUUGGGGCCCACUUUUUGGGUUCAUUUUUGGGGUCAUUUUGAGUCAUUUUGGGGCAUUUUUGGGGUCAUUUUUGGGGGUUCAUUUUGGACCCUUUUUAGGGUCAUUUUGGGGCAAUUUUUUGGGUCAUUUUUGAGUCAUUUUGGGACAUUUUUUGGCCCAUUUUUUGGGACCUUUUUUUUGGGGCCAUUUUGGACCCUUUUUUGGGUCAUUUUGAGUCAUUUUGGGGCCAUUUUUUGGGUUCAUUUUGAGCCAUUUUUGGGCCAUUUUUGGGGUCAUUUUUGGGGCCAUUUUUGGGGUCAUUUGGGGUCAUUUUGGGACAUUUUUUGGCCCAUUUUUUUGGCCCAUUUUUUGGGGCCAUUUUGGACCCUUUUUAGGGUUAUUUUGAGGCAUUUUGGGGCCAUUUUUGUGGCCACUUUUGGGGUCUUUUGGGGCCAUUUUUUGGGGUUCAUUUGGGGGCAUUUUUUUGUGGCCACUUUUGGGGUCAUUUUGAGUCAUUUUGGGGCAUUUUUGGGGCAAUUUUUUGGGUUCAUCUUGGGCCAUUUUGGGGUCAUUUGGGGCCCAUUUUCUGGGCCCAUUUUUGGGGUCAUUUUGGAUCAUUUUGGGGUCAUUUUGGGUCAUUUUGGGGCAUUUUUGGUGGCCAUUUUUGGGGUCGUUUUGGGACAUUUUUGGGGCCAUUUUUGGGGGGUUCAUUUUGGACCAUUUUUGGGGUCAUUUUGGGUCAUUUUGGGGCAUUUUUGGUGGCGAUUUUUGGGGUCAUUUUGCCCGCCCCCCCCGUUCAGAGCACAGCAGCCCCAUUUUGGGGCCAUUUCUCACCAUUUUGGGGUUUUUGGGGGGGAGCAAAAAGUGCCAUUUUUGUUCCCUGCGCUCAUUUUGGGGCUCUUUGCAUCAAUUUGAGUUGUUUUGUUUUUUUUUAAUCCCGAUUUUGGGGCCAUUUCUCCCAAUUUUGGGGCUGUUUUGGGGGUGUGAGAAGUGAUGGCAGUUUUGGGGUGAAUUCUGAUGAUUUUGGGGCCGAAUUCUGACGGUUUGGAGGCAAAAUCCACCAAUUUUGGGGCAAAUUCUGGGGAUUUGGGGCCGAAUUCCUCCAAUUUUGGGGCCGAAUUCCUCCAAUUUUGGGGCCGAAUUCCUCCAAUUUUGGGGCCGAAUUCCGUCAAUUUUGGGGCAAAUUCCGUCAAUUUUGGGGCAAAUUCUGGCAGUUUUGGGGCGGAUUUCUGUAGAUUUGGGGCCAAAUUCGGCCAUUUUGGGGCUGAAUUCCGCCCAUUUUGGGUGAAAUUCCGCCCAUUUUGGGUCCCUGUUUGGGGCAUUUUGGGGCAAAAAGGCUCAGAUUUGGGGUUUCCCCGCCUCCAAUUUUGGGGUGAUUUCCGGCAAUUUGAGGCAGUUUUGGGUCCAGGAGCAUUUUUG
ensembl:lncRNA